rnacentral:rRNA from 1 species
UGGGGAAUAUUGGACAAUGGGGGCAACCCUGAUCCAGCCAUGCCGCGUGAGUGAUGAAGGCCUUCGGGUUGUAAAGCUCUUUUGGCGGGGACGAUGAUGACGGUACCCGCAGAAUAAGCCCCGGCUAACUUCGUGCCAGCAGCCGCGGUAAGACGAAGGGGGCUAGCGUUGUUCGGAAUUACUGGGCGUAAAGCGCGUGUAGGCGGUUGUUCAAGUCAGGUGUGAAAGCCUUGAGCUCAACUCAAGAAAUGCACUUGAUACUGGAUGACUAGAGGACCGGAGAGGAUAGUGGAAUUCCCAGUGUAGUGGUGAAAUACGUAGAGAUUGGGAAGAACACCAGUGGCGAAGGCGGCUAUCUGGACGGUUACUGACGCUAAGACGCGAAAGCGUGGGGAGCAAACAGG